rnacentral:lncRNA from 1 species
CAGCAUAUGGAGGUUCCCAGGCUAGGGGUCCAAUCAGAGCUGUAGCCGCUGGCCCAUACCACAGCCACAGCAACGCCAGAUCCGAGCCAUGUCUGUGACCUACACCACAGCUCAUGGCAACGCUGGAUCCUUAACCCACUGAGUGAGGCCAGGGAUCAAACCCAGAAUCUCAUGGUUCCUAGUCAGCUUCGUUAACCGCUGAGCCAUGAUGGGAACUACAAAAAAUAUUUCUGUUAAAGGUAACUUAUGCAAGGGAGGACACCCUACUGUAGGGAAAAAAAAACAACAACAACCCGCAGAAUAUCAUGCAUGUCUGCUAAAAUUUAGAUCUGGGCUGUGGUUUAAUACUCUGUAGAAUAAAAGUUGCUGAGUGACUUGUAUAGAUCCCUGACACUAUUCAGACAUUGUCAGAUCUAAGAAGGGAAGCAGACUGAUGGAAAACUUUGCUGUCCUUUGUAUGUAGGUGGUACAUUUAUAGAUCCAUCCACUAAACUGGGAGCUCUGUGAGGGCAGAGAUGUUGCCUUCUCUAUUCGAUUUCCUUGUGAUGUCCUCAGAGCCUGUAACUGCCACUGACACACCACAGGCCCAUUCGUUUUUCAGUUUUUGUUGAAAGAACUGAAUAUGCAGAAACUAAGAUGUAUACCCCAAUAAAACUGUGUCGAGGAAGAAGUAAUAGCUCUUGUGUUUAGUAGGAUAAAUGAAUUUCAACAUCAGCAAACUGCUAAGCUGAUUCUUUCCCUCAGACUGUAGUUAUGUGUGGGGAAAAAGUCAGCAGUCAUUUCCAUACAAUGUAAGACAGAAUUUAUUUUUAGUUUAAUUACACACAAGUGAUCUCAUCUUAUAUUGUCAAUUUCUCUGGAGAUUUAACAUGUUGAUGAUCCCAAACUCCUGUGCAGCUCCUCUGGGAAGAGGUACAAUCUUAGUCAUGCCUUUAUAUUGUCGUAAGAAUUGGAAAAGUGGUGCCAGCCUCCACUUAUGUUGACUGUACUUAAGAAGAAAGUUCGGUCUGCUCGUCAAAGGGUUAUUUGCUCUGGAAAUUUACCUUCGGCCAACAAGCCCUGGAUCCUGGAGAAAAAUUAGACCAAAGGCUAAAAGAUGUCACACGUAGAAAAGAUUCUAAGUAAAAAACUAAGUUGCCACUUACAGACAUAAUCUCAUCCCUUGUUUGGUUUAUGGUCAUUAUACCACAUUGAAAAUCUGUGAGUCUUUUCUCUCCUUCUGAUUUUAGACCCUUGAGCCUAAUGCCUUGGAUAUGGUUUUCUUCAUAUAUGUAAUCUUUAUCCUUUGCUCACUUGACUACGAGACUCAAUCCAGUGUCCAAAUAAGUGGCCUAUUUGCUUCAGUCUUAGAGCUGUCCCACAGGAGUCCUCAACAAAUAAUUUGUUUGAGUUGAUCUCUUUUUUUUAAGGCUAAACGAUGUGAACAGUUGAUGGAUAAUCCUGAGGAUUCCUUUCCGGGACAAGAAUUAGUUCUUCCAGUGGAAGAGUUUCCAAUUCGUCACCUUUCUCAAAUGACUAAUGAAGUAAAAGCAAACAAAAUACUAAUAGAUGGUUAGACUAAUGAGGUGGACGUCUGCUAGGUUGUGCUUUUGUUGCUUGUGCAGGGAGGGAAUCUUUAUGACACUCUCUUUGGGGUUGGAGAUCAGAGCUGAGCCAGUGCUCCUGGUGCGUGGGUUCCACUCCCUUUACCACAUUUGCUGCUGACCAGGAGCUUUUAUGUUAUCACUUAAUCUUGCUGGGCUGUGAUUGAAAAGAAUAGAUCUCCAAUGCUCUCAGCAGGUAAGAUAUGAAAGAUAAUGUUAAAUGACUUUUUCUUACCUAUGAAAUACUUCCGUUUUAAACACCAUUCAAAAGAAUUUCACUUUUCUUCUGUUGUAAUCUUUGUAGUCAAUGAGCAUAAUAAUGUCCAGCCAUCAAAACAUACAAGUGCACCGUUUUAUUUAGUUUUAUGAAGCCUUAAAAAUUUGGCAUAUAGUUGAUUUGGGGGCCAUAUCACGAUUUUAUAAAGUACCGAAAAGAGAGGUCCAAAAAUUCCACGGUGUUUAGCAGAGUUAAGGAAGAAAGUAGUGGCUGCCAUGUUAGAAAAAUUAUGAAGCCUUUCCUUACUGGUAUUUUAUCUACUCUUCUCAGAUUUCUAAUUUCUGGGGUUGAAUCCUUUCCCCUCAUCCCAUGUGUACACCUUUAUUUUAAAAAACGCUCACUGUUUUCUGAACUCGAGAUAGUCUUCCCAAAUGCAGAAAGGCAACUAUGCCAAUUAUUUUCACUUAGAGGUUUAAAUACUUGCAGAUUUUAACAUCUCUCAUACAGUAUUGCAGUAGACAACGACUCCCUAUUUCUCUCCUGUAAUUCACUGUUGAUCUUUCUCAAGGAGCAUAUGCCCUGGUUUCCUGUUCUUCAUCAUUCUAUUCAGUGCUUAAUCAUCUGCCAGAGUGAUCUUCUUAGUUAUCCUUUUGAAAAGUCCAAGGACAUCAGGGGCCUUCUAAUCAUGCAGUAUUCAUACUUUUUCUCUGAUGAAAUCACUGCCGCCGAUGGUCACCUCUCUGCAGUAUUUCAGCCUUCCCUCUGCCUCUACUGAUCAUCUCUGUGACAUGACAUGGUUAGCGUGUAUCUCUUGAAUUGCUGCUCCUUUCUGUCUCCGUCUUCCUCCAAGUUCUUAAAUUCAGCAAAUUGUAAGGUUCAGCUCUUGGCGUCUUGCUUUUUUCUUCUACUCCAUUUCCUGUGAAGAGGCUUAGAUUCUGUUCCCUUCACUCUCAGGGUCCCUUUGAAGACAGUACAUUCAAAACACAGUAGGGCUGAACACAGUGUAGGAGGGCUGGGGGAAGAGUGCAUUGCAUCUUGGGAAAUGUGUCACCCUGUGCACACUGGUGGGCAUGGUUUUUCCCGUACUUCUGAAAUUCAUCAUUUGAGAGAGUUGGGAGAAGAUCCCACCUAGGUCCGCUAGAGCCUCUCUGAAUUCGCCUAGAUUCUUAGAGCCAGGAGAGAGGCAGCUUGCCCGUUUUCCCUCGGCUUUCCACCUACUCCCUGGCGGACAUUGAGGCUAAGUGCUCUCUGAAUCAUCCAUUUGGUCAAUAUAGGGGUCUGGAUAGAACUGCCUUCUAAGGACCCCCCCCUAACUUUAGGGUCCACAAAAUAACAAUGCAGGUUAAGAGAAAGAAGCGUCAAGCUGAAGGAUCAGAAGAAGAGAGUACUUUCAAGUAUAAUUUUUUACAGGAAAUUUUAUGCUCUCUUAAAUAACUUAGGCAUCCUGCAUCAACCAGAAACAGACGCUCACUCAAAGCUCAUAAAGCCCAAAGGAAAGAAUGUUUUGAGGUUAAAAAAAGAGAGAACCUGGAUGACAGGAGGAAAAGAAGGCAAGAG